ACGAGUCGCAAGACCGCGAGGUUUAGCAAAUCUCUUAAAGCCGUUCUCAGUUCGGAUUGUAGGCUGCAACUCGCCUACAUGAAGUCGGAAUCGCUAGUAAUCGCGGAUCAGCAUGCCGCGGUGAAUACGUUCCCGGGCCUUGUACACACCGCCCGUCACACCAUGAGAGUUUGUAACACCCAAAGCCGGUGGAGUAACCUUUUGGAGCCAGCCGUCUAAGGUGGGACAGAUGAUUGGGGUGAAGUCGUAACAAGGUAGC
rnacentral:rRNA from 1 species